rnacentral:misc_RNA from 1 species
GAGUCGUAACAAGGUUUCCGUAGGUGAACCUGCGGAAGGAUCAUUAUCGUAGGGCUUCGGCCCUGUCGAGAUAGAACCCUUGCCUUUAUGAGUACCGUCCGUUUCCUCGGCAGGCCCGCCUGCCGAUGGACCCAAAACCAAACCCUUUUUAUUACCUGUAUCAGUCUGAAAAAUAAACAAAAAGUUAAAA